UACAGGGGGUGCAAGCGUUACUCGGAAUUAUUGGGCGUAAAGAGCGUGUAGGCGGUUUGGUAAGUCUGAUGUGAAAGCCCCGGGCUUAAUCCGGGAAGUGCAUCGGAUUCUGCCAGACUAGAGUACAGGAGAGGUGAGCGGAAUUCCUGGUGUAGAGGUGAAAUUCGUAGAUAUCAGGAGGAACAACAGCGGCGAAGGCGGCUCACUGGACUGUAACUGACGCUAAGGCGCGAAAGCGUGGGGAGCAAACAGG
rnacentral:misc_RNA from 1 species